CAGUCUGCCCGCCCCUACGGCCAGCGCGCCGUGUUCAAGUUCGCGCAGUACCUGAACUGCAAGUACUCAGCCGGGCGCCAUACUCCCGGAACUUUCACCAACCAGAGCCAGAAGAACUUUGAGGAGCCCCGUCUGCUCAUCCUGACUGACCCCAGGUUUGCCAAAACGGGGCCACACCAGUGUGUUUGCAAGCAUGUGGAAUAGGGCAGCCAAGUGCCCAUGCACAUGUCGUCUGCAUCCAGGGCAGCUGCGCUUGUCAGCAUGCAAGCAGAUGCAAGCAGACGCGUCAUGCACAGGGGCCGCAUGCUGUAAAAAUCCUGUCUGAAUUGGCAUCCAAUGUUGGUCCUGCAUGUGGUGUGGGUGGGUGAAAGGGUGCAUGCGUGCGCGUGUGUACGUUUGCGCACGUAACUUGCAUGCUGACACAGGGUACUCUCCCAGGGUGUGAAUAAUGCAGUCAUCUUGAUGGCUGGCUGCUUAGCUCUCUUGUGUCUGAGGGAAUCUAAUUUUGGCUCAAAGGUGUUGUCAUUGAUUGCCUGGUCCAGUCCAGAAUACAGAGCAAGCAAACAAGAGAGAUUGCAGAAACAGGAACCUCCAGCAAAAGCUGCCCUGUAUGACUUGCUACACAAAGCAUCUGCUUCAUGCAUUCAUCACAUGCUUUCUGGGAGUUCCUUGACUUCUCCGACCAGCAAUCAUGUUCUGGAUAGACUCACUGAAAUACAAACUGAACAAUGAAAAUUACACGCAACCCGACGCACAUGCAUGCUUGCACCACAUCAACUACUGCACUGUGAUGUGCAUGUGCACACUCCUACUCCUAGGACUGACCACCAGCCCAUCAAGGAGGCUUCCUACGUGAACAUCCCCACCAUCUGCUUCUGCGACACGGACUCUCCCAUGCACCACGUGGACGUUGCCAUCCCCGCUAACAACAAGGGGAAGCACUCCAUCGCUGUGCUGUACUACCUGCUGGCGCGCAUGGUGCUGCAGAUGCGUGGUGUGGUUUCUCCUGCCGCCCCAUGGGAUGUGAUGGUGGACCUGUUCUUCUACAGGUGAACACAAACAUGGUCCUGGCGCAGAAUAUGAUCCCUGGCAUACUAUGAUUCAUGGGGUGGUGAUGUGGCUGAAUGGGCCUGGAUCGAGGGGGCGAAGGGAGCUGUUUGGGAGCAACUCAUCUUGCUGCUUGUGGGUGUAACUGGCUUCGUUUAAAAAGACAGCCAAAAGUGCACAUUUUUAGAGUUUCUAAAACUGAGGCGCUGCUCUUGGCUGACCACCACUUGUCCUGAUGCACUUGGUCCUGUACAUUAAACAUUUGAGAUAGCAAAGAUGCAGGGGAGUGCGUUGCGCUCCCGAAGCAAGGCAGCGCUGAGGGUUUUUGUCGCUUGCACCAGUGAAGUAGAGCAGCGCAAGGGCAAAUCUGUGUGUGUAAACUUGUUUCGGUGGUGUGCAUGGAGGUCGUCCAAAGUUGCACUGUAGGGUGCACGCAUGCAACACCAUGCAUUAAAGCAUAUAUGUCCGUGUGUUCUUCCAAGGUUCUAAGAAAACCACGGUUUCAUGCCUGUGCCCAUCAGGACCAUCUCAGAAACCUGCAUUGUAUAUUUUUCAUGCAGGCCCGACUUGUUGAGAGGCCGCAGGCCUUUUUAAAUAUGAUAGUAUAUGGGAAGCAAAACUCCUUUCAUAAAUGUACAGCUUUUGGGUGGCAGUUUUGUUCAUACACUUCCAAUGCAACAAUGUGCCCCAUCAAUUAUGUUUAGCCUGCAGUAUUGGUUCUCUGUGCGGCCGGACCCCCCCCUUUCAGUAUCAUCAUGGCAUUUAUUUGCUUGUGCAUGGGAGCUUGUAUGACCUAAGUAUUCCAAACAUGACCAAAGAUGUUUUCAUGUCCCAAGCAUCGAAAAUGACUGAAAACUGUGGAUGUGGAGGUGCCCUGUGUGGCUUUUGCAACCAUUUUGGCUGGGGAGAAGGUGAAUUUUUGAACUUGCACCAAAUGACCAGCGCUCCCGGACAUCAGCUGCUCUUGGGACGUCUGAUCAUGCUGCAGAGUCAGAUUUUGCAGGGGGACACUGGGGGAGCGUGCUGGUGGGGUGACCCGUCUGGGCGGAAAUGGGCACAGAAGGGAGAGUUCUGCGUCAGCCCGCCCAUGCUGCAAGGUUUCACCUCUAAUUUGGCAGAGAGUUGCGGGGUCAAUAAUGCCUCUAGCGACACUUAAAUGAGGCCAAUCAGUGGUGUGGCUGGAAAUUGCUCACAGAUUUGUGACGGGACAACCAAAAGUGCAUCCCACAACAAUCCAGUGCCAAUUUCCAGCCAGGCCACCAACUGGCCCCGUUAAAGUUUUCAAAGAUGCAAUGCUAAACACCACAACUCUAGUUCAAAGCUGGUCAGGAUUCAGCCCUGCAUGGCUAAGCUGGAGAGCAAAACAGGCAAAAAGGAGCCAAAAAUGCCACUUCAUGCACGCUUCGUUCUCCAGCUCAGCCGUAAAGGGCUGAAUCCCAACCAGCUUUUAUCUAGAGUUGUGGGGUUUAGUAUUGCAUUUAUCAAAAAUGGGGCCAGUCGGUGACCUGGCUGAAAAUUGGCACACUGGUUUGUAGUGGGACAUGUGCUCCUGAUGUUUUCCCUUGAUUUCCUCAUUCGUUCCUAUUGGCCACACACUGCACCUCACAUUACCACCUCAGCGCCUGCAUGUAGAGCUCACAAACAGCUCUCUGGCGCACUGUUUAAGUCCUGGAAUGGUGCAGGAAUGGGCAAGAUAUGCUGAUGCAAAGCCAAGGAUACUCAUUUACCUAGGUAAGGGGGGGUCCAGCCGCGGGGAGAACCUAUUCUACCACUCUAAGAUCUUAGCGCUGACAUGAUAAUGCGUCCCAGAAGCAUGUGCUUGAGCCCAGGUGCGCAGCUGAGGGUCAGCCUUCUGGCCUGCGUGCUGAAAAUUGUACUCUGCUGCUCUGUUUCAUCGCUCCUGCCAGCCUGGAACUUGUUUGUUGGGCCAGCAGCACCUUGUUUUAGCAGGAACUCUCCACCACUGACUUCUUCAAACCCUUACCUUCUUACUCCUGUAUUGUGGAAGUCGAUUUCAUGACAGUGCAAAAUGAUGAAGAGAAGUCGGUCGUUGAAGAACAUGGUAUGCUGAGUUGAAAGGAGCACUGCUGUGCAUUUUUGCAGGGAGCCUGAGGAGACCAAGGAGCCCGAGGAGGCUGCCGCCGAGUUUGGCGCUGCUGAGGCCUUUGGCUCUCUGCCUGCCCCCAUGGGUGCAACUGAGACCUGGGGCGAUGCCCCUGCUGCACCCGCAGCCACCCCAGGCUUUGAGGCAGCUGGCUU
rnacentral:lncRNA from 1 species